rnacentral:lncRNA from 1 species
UUGAUUUUGAGUUUCUGUUUUUAUUACUAGCUAGCCAGAACUCUAAAUACUGAAUAUAUAAUUUUAUCAGAAAGAUUAAUAAUUUACUAUACAUCAAAUUCAUACACACGUAUUUACAUACAUAUCUUUGUUUACGAGCAGCUGGGUGUUUAUGAUUGUAGCUCUUGUGGAGGCGGAAGAGUUAUCCUCUUCUGCAAAGACAAAAAAGGGGCAAUCGUUGGUUAAUUCUUCUUAGAGGCAUAUCGGACAAUGCACUAUUGGUAAAAAUUGUUCCCAUUAAUCCUAAAAAUAAAUUUUAAGUUCGUCCCUCAUGAUCAAAAAUCUGACCGCAAAAUCAAGAUCUGAAAUAUUAUUCGAACUUUAAAGACUUUAAAGAGCUAGACUUCUACAAAUGUGCACGAAAGCUCGUUAGACUAAAGUGGAAUUUCGCAUUUCCCAUACGAAUUGAAACCCAUAAUUGUAUGUACAUAUAUAUGUACACAUGUACGUCGUAUUUAUUUUACAAAAAUGUAUAUUAAUUAUGAUAAAAGAUCCUUUUACAAAUUUUUUAAACAUUUGAAUGCAUGUUUAUUUAAAUGCAUUUCGCUAAGCAAUAAAUUGGAUUUUGAAAUUUCAAUAGUUUCGUCUUCAGUUAGAAAGUUUUCUUCAAUAUUUUCCAAAGAACAACAUUAUAUUGCGUCUUGUUUGUGCUCAAGACCACCAGCAGCGCUGCAUGCAUACAUACAUAUGUAAGUGAACUCAUUAGCAUCUGCACAAAUUUUUUGAAAAUGGGCAUAUAACACCAAUUGAUUCUAUAUUAAUUGUUUAAUAAUAUUGAACCGGAACCUUCGUGAAGUGGUGUGCUGUACAAAAGUUAUAUUGCACUGAACACACGUACAAUAUGUACAUAUGUACAUUUGUUAGUACAGUAUACAAAUUGGAUAUCUCAAUAACAACAAAUAUGUAACAUGUAAUGUAAUCGACAUGUAAUGUCAUCGAAAAACAUGUAUUAACAAUAACCUAUAUACCAUGACCUGUUAAUUCUAUAUUUGGAUUUUUAUUAUACCCGGUACUCGGAUAUAGUGUAUAUUGGGUAUAUUGUAUUUGUGCACAAAGUGGAUGUAUGUAACUCACAGAAGGAAACGUUUCCUACCCCACAAAGGAUAUAUAUUCUUGAUCAGCAUCAAUACCCGGGUCGAUAUAGGCAUGUCUGUCUGUCCGUCCGUCUUGUUGAGCGCCUGGAUCUCAGAGGCUAACAACUAGAGCCACCCAAUUUUUCAUCCAAAUGGCUGUAUGCUCACAUUGUUACAAGUGUAUUUCAAGAUUUCGCCCGGCCCUGUUCCUCGAAAAAUCUGCGGUAUUGAUAAUUUUGAAGAUACGAGAAAACUAAUUACGCCAUUCCGUAGGGUUAUGACCAUAUCUAUCAGAUGACCGAAUUGGGAUCAGAUUGAAUCAUUAUUAUAGCCAGUCUCACACGUCCCUUCUCGAUAAAUAUUUCGUAUCAAGCUAACAUUCAACCUUCAAGUUGUUGAAUGUAUCCUUCACUUUCUUACAAUGCGAAACGCCUAUGUAUCAGCAGACUGUGA